CUGAGUGGUGAGGGCUUGGCAGUCACAAUGGGUGGGGAUUCCUGCUGGCCCUUCAAGGGACACUGUGGGGCCCCACCUGCCCGGGGCAGCCAGACAUCCUUGACCUCCUGAAGACCGCCUGGGCUCUGGGGUUAACCUGGGAGGCUCUGUGGCAGGUGGGAGACCCAUGUGCCUACCCUGUGAUGUUCUCUGUCUGUCUGGGACAGAAGCAAGUGGAGACCCACAAUGACCAAGCCAGGAGGUCCAGAAACUGAGGCUCGGAGUCCGAAGCGGUGGGACCAGGAUUCCAGGGCAGGGGCACCACUGCAAGCAGAGCCUGUGUGUCCGCACGGUGGGCGUGGCCCCCUCCCUGGGGGUGGAGAGCGUGCGAUUCGAUCCAGGGAUGUUCUACAGGGAAGGGACCCUCCUCUCACCAGGAAGCUGCAGAGGACUGUCCUUGGAUUUGGAGAGGGAGCACACGGGCCGUGUCCCACACUGGAGAUGUGGCUGGAGAUCUGAUGUUGCUGCUGGUGGAGCAGCAUCCUCUGUGAGCCCAGGUUGCCUCUUGUCAUGUAGAGCCAGCAUCAGAGUACACUGGAGACAAGGCAGACACAGUCCCUGAGCUCGUGAGAUUACAGCCAAGGAGAAUCAGUCACCUUCCCAUGAAAUCAGCAGCUCUUUCUGUCC
rnacentral:lncRNA from 1 species